UCUUCCCUCUGGCGGCGUGCCUAAUACAUGCAAGUCGAGCGAACGGACGAGAAGCUUGCUUCUCUGAUGUUAGCGGCGGACGGGUGAGUAACACGUGGAUAACCUACCUAUAAGACUGGGAUAACUUCGGGAAACCGGAGCUAAUACCGGAUAAUAUUUUGAACCGCAUGGUUCAAAAGUGAAAGACGGUCUUGCUGUCACCUAUAGAUGGAUCCGCGCUGCAUUAGCUAGUUGGUAAGGUAACGGCUUACCAAGGCAACGAUGCAUAGCCGACCUGAGAGGGUGAUCGGCCACACUGGAACUGAGACACGGUCCAGACUCCUACGGGAGGCAGCAGUAGGGAAUCUUCCGCAAUGGGCGAAAGCCUGACGGAGCAACGCCGCGUGAGUGAUGAAGGUCUUCGGAUCGUAAAACUCUGUUAUUAGGGAAGAACAUAUGUGUAAGUAACUGUGCACAUCUUGACGGUACCUAAUCAGAAAGCCACGGCUAACUACGUG
rnacentral:rRNA from 1 species